rnacentral:rRNA from 1 species
AUUGAACGCUGGCGGAAUGCUUUACACAUGCAAGUCGAACGGCAGCACGGAGAGCUUGCUCUCUGGUGGCGAGUGGCGAACGGGUGAGUAAUAUAUCGGAACGUAUCCAGUAAUGGGGGAUAACGAGUCGAAAGAUUCGCUAAUACCGCAUACGCCCUACGGGGGAAAGCAGGGGAUCGUAAGACCUUGCGUUAAUGGAGCGGCCGAUAUCUGAUUAGCUUGUUGGUGAGGUAAAGGCUCACCAAGGCGACGAUCAGUAGCUGGUUUGAGAGAACGACCAGCCACACUGGAACUGAGACACGGUCCAGACUCCUACGGGAGGCAGCAGUGGGGAAUUUUGGACAAUGGGGGCAACCCUGAUCCAGCCAUUCCGCGUGAGUGAAGAAGGCCUUCGGGUUGUAAAGCUCUUUCGCAAGGGAAGAAAACUUAUGAUCGAAUAAAUCAUGAGGUUGACGGUACCUUGAUAAGAAGCACCGGCUAACUACGUGCCAGCAGCCGCGGUAAUACGUAGGGUGCGAGCGUUAAUCGGAAUUACUGGGCGUAAAGCGUGCGCAGGCGGUUUUGUAAGUCGGAUGUGAAAUCCCCGGGCUCAACCUGGGAACUGCGUUCGAAACUGCAAGGCUAGAGUGUGUCAGAGGGGGGUAGAAUUCCACGUGUAGCAGUGAAAUGCGUAGAGAUGUGGAGGAAUACCAAUGGCGAAGGCAGCCCCC